rnacentral:lncRNA from 1 species
CCAAAUUUAAUAAAAAGAUCUACACUAUUUAAAGACCCAAAAAAUAUCAACAAAUACAAGGGGGGGAAAAACGAAGCAACCCCAAAUCCCAAAUCCAGCAAGUGGAGAUCGAAGUUACGAUGAAGAAAAUGCCGAUUAGAGAAAAGCUAAUUGAAGGAGAACCUGUAGAAGUAGAUCGAGAAGUAAGUUCAACUAGAGUCGCGGAAGCACCAGCAGUACUGUCGAGGAAGAAGCCUCCGAGUCCCUCAUUGAAAAUUCGUUAUUUCAGGUAAUUAAGUAGAUUUCAUUUCUCGCACCUCAUGAGCACAACUGUGGAAACUAGAUCUCCGACGAGCGAAUUUAUCCAGAUAUUAUCGGUUCCGUUCCUGGCUCUUCAGAUUGCUUUUGGACAGGCGUUGGAAGAUCUAUCCACGGAUUGUUUUUUCUCGGCAAGUUGCCAUAGCUACCGUCUUGUGAUCAGCUAAUCGAGUUCCGAUCAUCAGAGGCAUCGUGAAUCCUUCCAGGUCACGAUGUCUCCCCUAUCUCUGAUCGAUUGGAGACGUCUCUGAAUAUUGUGACUUGGAUUUAAUUGUUCUUGAAUUAUAAAUUAU